rnacentral:rRNA from 1 species
GAUGAACGCUAGCGGGAGGCUUAAUACAUGCAAGUCGAACGGUAACAGUACAGUUUUUCGGAACAGUAGCUGACGAGUGGCGCACGGGUGAGUAACGCGUACACAAUCUACCUUUUACAGGGGGAUAGCCUCGGGAAACUGAGAAUAAUACCCCAUAGUAUAUACUAAUCGCAUGAUUUGGUAUAUUAAAGCUCCGGCGGUAAGAGAUGAGUGUGCGUUAGAUUAGCUAGUUGGUAGGGUAACGGCCUACCAAGGCGACGAUCUAUAGGGGGCGUGAGAGCGUGAUCCCCCACACGGGUACUGAGACACGGACCCGACUCCUACGGGAGGCAGCAGUAAGGAAUAUUGGACAAUGGGCGAAAGCCUGAUCCAGCCAUCCCGCGUGCAGGAAGACGGCCCUCUGGGUUGUAAACUGCUUUUGUAUGGGACGAAACGCCUUCAUUUAUGAGGGUCUGACGGUACCAUAAGAAUAAGCAUCGGCUAACUCCG